rnacentral:misc_RNA from 1 species
GGGUACUCUCAGGCCCACCAAUUGGCUGGAAGAUUCACUAUAAGGGAUGGCAACGAACAAAGGAUGAUCUUCAAAGUGAGCAGAGAAGAAUAGAACAAUUUGCAGAACUUCUUUGUUGGAAUAAGAUUUCUGAGAAGGAUGGUAUUGCUAUAUGGAGAAAGAGAAUAAACGACAAAUCCUGCCCCAUGAAACAAGAAAAUCCAAAAGUUGACAAGUGUGAGUUGGCAUAUGACAAUGAU